AAAGGGAGACCUAAUUCGGGUAUAAGACGAAAAAAUAGUAGUCGAAACCAAGAAUCAAUCCCAAAAGGUCGGAACGAGGUAUGUGGCUUUCAAACUAGGUUCUGGGUUCAUAAAAGACCUGAAUCAGGAACAAGGGCUAUUAGCUCAGGUGGUUAGAGCGCACCCCUGAUAAGGGUGAGGUCCCUGGCUCGAGUCCAGGAUGGCCCACCUGCACAGGUGGCAAAAACAAAGAAAAGAAGCGAGGAAUCAGCACCUUAUCUUACUUAUAUAGUAAGAGAGAAUGCUGGCUCUGAGUACAGAGUCCAGAGGAACCUUGAAAACUGCAUAGAGCUAGGUGAAAAAGCCAAAAAAGAAGACCGCAAG
rnacentral:tRNA from 1 species